UACGGAGGGGGCAAGCGUUGUCCGGAUUUACUGGGCGUAAAGAGCGCGCAGGCGGUCGUUCAAGUCGCGUGUGAAAGCCCCCGGCUCAACUGGGGAGGGUCACGCGAUACUGAUCGACUCGAAGGCAGGAGAGGGAAGUGGAAUUCCCGGUGUAGUGGUGAAAUGCGUAGAUAUCGGGAGGAACACCAGUGGCGAAGGCGACUUCCUGGCCUGUUCUUGACGCUGAGGCGCGAAAGCUAGGGGAGCAAACGGG
rnacentral:rRNA from 1 species